rnacentral:rRNA from 1 species
AGAGUUUGAUCAUGGCUCAGGAUGAACGCUGGCGGCGUGCCUAACACAUGCAAGUCGAGCGAAGCGAUUCGAAUGAAGUUUUCGGAUGGAUUUUGGAUUGACUGAGCGGCGGACGGGUGAGUAAUGCGUGGGUAACCUGCCUCAUACAGGGGGAUAACAGUUAGAAAUGACUGCUAAUACCGCAUAAGCGCACAGUACCGCAUGGUACGGUGUGAAAAACCCCGGUGGUAUGAGAUGGACCCGCGUCUGAUUAGGUAGUUGGUGGGUUAACGGCCUACCAAGCCGACGAUCAGUAGCCGACCUGAGAGGGUGACCGG